AGUGAAUGUGUGACUAGUGACAAAGUGAGGGAGGGGUGACUAGAGACGGGGGGGAGACUAUUGAGGGAGGGGGUGACUAGUGACAGAGGGAGGGAGAUGGUGACUGUCACUAGUCACCCCAUCCCUCCCUCUGUCACUAGUCACUCCCUCCCUAACUCUGUCACUAGUCAUCCCCUCACUCUGUCACUAGUCACCCACCCCAUCCCUCCCUCUGUCACUGUCACCCCAUCCCUCCCUCUGUCACCCCAUCCCUCACUCUGUCACCAGUCCCCCCCUCCCCACUGU